UACGUAGGGGGCUAGCGUUGUCCGGAUUUAUUGGGCGUAAAGAGCGUGUAGGCGGCCAUGUAGGUCCGGUGUGAAAACUCGAGGCUUAACCUCGAGAUGUCAUCGGAAACCAUUUGGCUAGAGUCCGGAAGAGGAGAGUGGAAUUCCUGGUGUAGCGGUGAAAUGCGCAGAUAUCAGGAAGAACACCAAUGGCGAAAGCAGCUCUCUGGGACGGUACUGACGCUGAGACACGAAAGCGUGGGGAGCGAACAGG
rnacentral:rRNA from 1 species